rnacentral:rRNA from 1 species
AACGAACGCUGGCGGCAGGCCUAACACAUGCAAGUCGAGCGAGAACUUCGGUCCUAGCGGCGGACGGGUGGGUAACGCGUGGGAACGUGCCCUUUGCUUCGGAAUAGCCCUGGGAAACUGGGCGUCAUACCGGAUGAGCCCUUUGGGGGAAAGAUUUAUCGGCGCAGGGUCGGGCCGCGUUGGAUUCGGUGGUUGGUGGGGUAAUGGCCUGCCAAGCCGACGAUCCAUAGCUGGUAGGAUAGGAGGACCAGCCACACUGGGACUGAGACACGGACCAGACCCCUACGGAAGGCUGCAGAGUGGAAUCUUAGACAAGGAGGGAAGCCCUGAUAGAGCCAUGCCGCGGGUGCGAUGAAGGCGGUAGGGUUCUAAAGCUCCUUGAGACGGGAAGAUAAUGACGGUACCAGCAGAAGAAGCCCCGGCUAACUCCGUG